rnacentral:rRNA from 1 species
GACGAACCGUGCGAACGUUGUUCGGAAUCACUGGGCAUAAAGGGCGCGUAGGCGGCUUGUCAAGUCAGGGGUGAAAUCCGGCAGCUUAACUGUCGAAGUGCCUUUGAUACUGACGAGCUCGAGGGAGGUAGGGGUCGCUGGAACUUCCGGUGGAGCGGUGAAAUGCGUUGAUAUCGGAAGGAACGCCGGUGGCGAAAGCGAGCGACUGGAUCUCUUCUGACGCUGAGGCGCGAAAGCCAGGGGAGCAAACGGG